rnacentral:rRNA from 1 species
CAGUAGCCGCGGUAAUACGAAGGGUGCAAGCGUUAAUCGGAAUUACUGGGCGUAAAGCGUGCGUAGGCGGUUUGUUAAGUCUGUUGUGAAAUCCCCGGGCCCAACCUGGGAAUGGCAAUGGAUACUGGCAAGCUAGAGUGUGUCAGAGGAUGGUGGAAUUCCCGGUGUAGCGGUGAAAUGCGUAGAGAUCGGGAGGAACAUCAGUGGCGAAGGCGGCCAUCUGGGACAACACUGACGCUGAGGCACGAAAGCGUGGGGAGCAAACAGGAUUAGAUACCCGCGUAGUCCCUGUCUCUUAUAC